UGAUCUUUGACAAGAAAGGAACAUUUGUGAGACAAGUUUCAUUGUUGGCCGUAAUUUUGGAUCAGCUUGUAGACAUGCGAAUGCUAUUGUAGCUACAUGAACAAUAUUCUGUGCGACUAGCUGGCUUGUUGGAGGUGAGAGACGUGGAUCUAGCACAUCAAUUAACAUUAUAUUUUGCAAAGAAGAUGGUUCUGACAACAAGGAUAAAAUUUCCACAGGAUGCUUUCCGACCAAUGUUUCCAAUGCCAAUACUCCAAAACUAUAAACAUCACAUUUUUCAGUUACAAUCAUUGUGUAGGCAAGUUCUGCAUAAACAAAAUAAUGCACAUUAAAAUAUAUUAAAAACAUAAUAAUAAUAAUAAUAAUUAAUGACCCUUUUGCUUGUAUUUCCCAAAUCCUAGCCCCUAUAAUUUUUCCCCUUGAUUUUUGCCCACGUAUGUAUAUAUAUUCUUGCAUAUCGAAUUUGUAGUGAUAGCUUCCAUGCAUUUGGUUUGACAAUUGCUCAUUAGUCAUAUGACAUAAAAAUUUAACAAUGAAGACCGAUUUAAUCUACAAACUAACUACAAAAGGUAAACAAGUAAAGUGGAGAGUAAAGCAAAUUAGUAAAUGAAUCGGUAGAGGAUAACAUCACCUGGAGCUACAUAGCCAUAAGUGCCAACAAGCCUUGUUUGAUUUGAAGAAUCAGGAUCUAUGAUUCUGGCAGUCCCAAAGUCAGUGACAAAAGCCUCCAAGUCCAAGUUUAACAGAAUGUUGUUACUUGAAAUGUCUCGAUGAACUAUUAUUCGUGUGCACUCAAAAUGCAAGUAAGAUAAAGCGUGAGCCGUGCUCUUGAUAAUGUUCACUCUUUUUGCCCAAUCCAAUUCCACGGCCUGAACAUCAUCACUUAGCAUGAAAAACAAGCUUCCCCUUUCCAUGUAUUCAUAAAUCAAAAACAUGCAUCGUUUGUGAAGACAAUACCCAUGCAGUUUCACAAUGUUUCGAUGUCGAACUUCUGUUAAGAAUUUGAUCUCAUUUCUAAAACUCCUAUCCAAAGCCGGUUCCUCAGCUUCAAGACGAUGAAGCUUCUUCAAGGCAACUACUCUGCCACUUGGUAGCUGUGCUCUGUAUACACUUCCGUAACGACCAGUUCCAAUGCAGUAUCGUAUGUCAAAAUCAUUUGUUGCUGCUAUGAUGUCUUCAUAAGCUAUCUUUCCAUCGUAGUUCCAUAUCGAGAACAGGUCUCCAUUCUUAGUGGAUUGCAAUACACUAGUUGGGUUGACCUUGACCUUAUACCUCCACAAUAAUAAUUGUAAUAAACACCCGAAAAGAAAAAAAGCAACGAAUAUCGUAAUAGGUAGAAAUAUUGGGAGAUUGCAAUUCUUCUUCAAUGGAGAACAGGAGUAGGACUUUAAAUUUUUGUUGCCACCAUAUACCUCAUCAUCUUUGUUAUAAAAGCUGGGAUUUACGUCGUAAUCAUAUUUUGCCCCAUGAAGAUUAUAUGGAACAACACUUGAGAAAUCAUUGUUUCUGAGAUCUACUCGGUCUAGCAACGAAAGUUUUCUGAUUUGAUUGGGAAUGUGACCUUGUAAAUUGUUGUUGCUUAAGUUCAACUCUUCUAAAUUGAAACAAUUACCAAUUUGAGGUGGAAUAGGUCCACUCAACUGGUUUUGAGAGAGGUCCAAUGAAACUAGUGCUGUCAAAUUUCCAAUUUCCUCGGGUACAGAACCUUCUAAAAAAUUUGAAUGAAUGGAUAAAGCAAGCAAAGUCUUCAAAUGUCCAAUUGUUGAAGGGAUAGAUCCAUUGAUUCUGUUGAAGCCAAGAAGCAAUUUUUCCAAUUUCGUUAAAUGAUUCAAAUUGGUUAAUUGACCAACAAGUUUGUUGUAUGAUAGAUCGAUGAAGACCAAAUUGGAUAAUUGAAAAAGAGUGAAGGGAAUGAAACCAUCAAGUAAGUUAUUAGACAAAUCCAGAGUCAUUAGACUCUUUAAAUCCCCCAAUUUUGGGGAGAUGGAACCAUAGAGUUGAUUUGAGCUCAUAUGCAGAUGGGUAAGAUUGGUCAGAAGAUAAAAAGACGAAGGAAACGGUCUCUCAAGUCGGUUCCUAGUCAAAUUUAAAAUAGCAAGAUUUUUCAAAUUCCUAAAUUCCAAAGGAAUAGAACCCGUAAUAUAUUGGUUAUAUGACAAAUCAAGAAACUCUAAUUGAGUGAGAUUACCAAGCCGAGUAGAUAACCGACCAUAUAAAGAAUUGUUGGACAAGUCGAGGUGCCUUAAUGUUGACAGAUUGCCUAUAUUGAACAUAAAAUCCUCCAUCGUCCCAUUGAGUUCAUGACCACCGAGACUGAGAAAAACAAGGUUCAGAAAGCAAGAGAAGUCCAUAUUCUUAAAUUUAUCACCAACCUUAAUAACGCCAGAAGGUGGGUAAAUUUUGGUCACGCUACCAGCAUCAUUGCAUGAGAUGCCUGUCCAGUUGCAACGCUGCAAAGUGUCGUUGCUGUAGUUAUUCCACCAACCACUUUCGAGUAGAGCCUUCGCUUCCCGUUCCAGCGACAUUGUUGUUGCUGAGGUAGUUGCGGCAACUUGAGAUGCAACAUAGGAAGAAAGGACGGUAGUACUCCAUAGCAUCACCAUUAUGGAAGCUGUAAAAGUUAAGCUCAUGUUUAAGUUCAUCAUAUAUGACAAGUUCUUGUUUGUUGCAUGUUAAUUCCCAGAGCACCGAAAUUUAAAGACGUUUAUUUCCGGAGUCAAGGUCUUCUAAAAGUGAAGAGUGAUGACUAUGAAUAGAGAAACAGAAGAGUCAAAAAAAAAAAAAAUUCAUGGUGUGGGUCACUUCUCUUUUUGCCUAAUUUUUCUUCAAGUUCACCAUCUGGGUCCAAAAAUUUUUUCUCAACCGUGAGAACGUCUUCCACACGGAAUUAGUUUCUUUCUGUGACUCAACGACGCAGUUUCUAGCAAGUAGCAACCAUACUUCCAGGAAGCAAUAGCCGCGUGGGUCCAACUGAGGAAGCAUUCCUAAAAUCAUCAUCCGGAAUAAGUAGAGGAUAUACUUGUGUAACACGCCCAUUGACUGCUUAUUUUCACACUGGAGAAGUUCUGCCCUGAUGGACAUGGAUAAUAAAUUUUGCACGUCUUUUGGUUAUUUUCCCUGUUUUUGGUCUUCAGAAAGAGAACGGAUUACUUACGAGUCUAAAGGUCUCCUUCCAUGAAUUAUGGAAGAGAAAAUUCUAACGUCUCUUCAUUACUGUUCAUCUGUUUUCAACAACUCCAUAGAUUUACAGCAAUUUAUUUAAUACCUCACUUCCUCCACGCGCUAGGAACUCUUCAGAUUUAUCUUAGUGCACUUAAAGGAGCGGUGCUGCACCACUCCAACAGUCGUUAGCUAGAUAAAUUCAGUUGCUGUUAUCUAAAAUUUUAGAUAAAUUCAGUUUACAAAGCUACUCAUGCUUUUCUUGGUCUUGCAUGUUGCAUCCGAUAUGGUUGCCAAAAUUUUAACAUUAAUUUUGCUUUCGAACAAAAAUUAAGAACAUUAGUCUUUGUACAGCACAGAUCUUUAGGAGAGGCAGAGAGCUUAUUUUUGUUUAGAUAGCUUAGGGAUGGAAACUGCAACAGACCUUUGUGAAAGUCAGUUCCUACUGCAAUUGUACAUAUUCUCCAUUUUGCACAAACCAGGUAUUUUAUGCCCAUAAAAGUCUUUAGCAAAUAGUGUAAAAACUUUGCAUGGCAUCAUCACUUAGUGUUAAUAAAAUCACUUUAUAAAAAAAUUAUUGAUAGUUUCUUAGUCAUAUUAAGUGGUUUAAAUGUCACAUCUAAAAGUAAAUUGUAAAUAAAAAAGUUCUAACAUUUGAAAUUAAGGCAGAGUCGGAGUGUUAAAUUUGAUGUACUUUUUAGCUUUUUUUUUUUGAUAAGGAUGUAUUUUUAUCUUAUCUCAUUGAAAGAAAACAAAAAACAACAGAAAAUAAAACCAAAAACAAUUGCAAUAACAAGAACAAGGUGUUUUAUGCUAGCGCCUGAUGACAGCAGCUUCACAGUCCCACCCUUUUCUCCAGGUGGUGCUGCUGUUGAUCAUUCUAUUCCAGGUGAUGAAUCCUCCUAAUCAAAGGCAAGGAGCAUCACCCGAUCACACAACAAACACAAAAAAGAACCAAAUCGCAAAACACAGACCAAUUUCAAUAUAGUAAUUGAUUAGAAGAAGUACAAGACUUAGUAAGAGAUCAAAGUCUCUCAAGUCCGUAGUCUUUGAUAGCUUUUCAAUCAAAUUAAAUUCUUUAAAUGUCACAUCUAAAAAUGAAUGGAAAAACGAAAAAUUACAACUUAUGAAAUUCUAUUUAAUUUAAAUUGAUUAAUAAUAAAUUGUGAACUUUUUUAUUUAUAAUUUCAUAAUACUUUAUAUUUAACUUUUAUAUAUGGUACUCAAACGCAUGUUGCACAUGUAACUUUACAUAUUGAUUAAAACUAAAUCUUAAAACCACUUAUAAUCAAUGACAAUAAACUUAAUUUUGUUUAUACUACAACAUAAAAUCAAUAUUUCGUGGUCCCCUAACUACUGAAAGGCAUCCAACUUUUUCAUUAUCAAUAAUAGUACUACCCUACAUUUUUAAGAGUUAAAUUGGAGGAUUGCGAUUAGAAUUUAACCUCUUUAAUUGAAUAUUUUCAAUCAUUAAUUUGAAAUCGAUAGAUUGAAAGUCCCCUCUAACAUUGUCGAAGUAGACAGACUCAAGGUCUUGUAAGUUCCCAAGUUUGGACAUAUUCUAACGGUGUUCCUGCUUUACAGGAUAAGGAUGUGAAACCCAAAAGGACUUCCAAGUUUUCCAUGACAAGAAUAUUAUAGGACAACGCGUAUACAAAUUAAUUUAUCAUGAUUUUAUUUUAUUACUUUUUCAUAUUAAAAAGUAUUAAACAUCUAUGUUAUAAAAAAAUUUUCAAAUUUUAAUAUAAAAUAUAUUAAAAUCAAAACUUUUAUUUUAACUUCUAUAAAAGUAAAAUAUAGAUAAACAUCAGAAUAGAAGCAAGAAUGUAUGCAUUUGUCACUACAUAUCAAGUUUAUUGAAUUUCCAUCCCUCAUUCCAGUUUUCUUUAUCAUCAAUAAUCACUUAUCCUAGAAGCUUGCUACGUGAAGCCAUAAAAACAUGUUUUACUUAGUAUAUACUUAGUGAAAGAGAUUUCGGUAAAUCAUGUCGGAAACGAUGACCAUUCAAGCAUAAUUCUUCUUCAUUAACAUUGGUAUUAACAGGAGGUUGUUACACUACCCAAAUCGAAACAAGAACAACAUUGGAGAUGGCUUCAUCUCCCUUUCCUUAGAAAUCGAAGAGACCCCUGACAUGGGAAGUUAAUGUUGACUUUAAGUUAUUUGUGCUUCACCAGAUAGAACAGCUCUAUUAUUUUUAUUUCAUCUUUCUUUCUUUCAUUUUAGAAAUCGUAAUUUCAAUGAUCAUUGGUUGCUAAUUUGAUAACCGUCACUCUGUUUCGAUUGACAAAGAAGCUCUGUUUCAAUUUUUCUGCUCGCAGUUAAACGAUGGUAGGCACACUUCCACUAAUGAAAGUUGGGGCUAUGGUGGGUUUGUGUCGUUAAAGAAUCUUCAUGAUGCUCCAAAAAAUACAUAAAGGAUGAAGUUCUGAUUGUUGAAGCGGAACUUACUGUCAUUACUAAAUUCAAGUGUUAUGAUAGACUGCUCUUUAACAUGGAAAACAGAACACAUUUUCCCCAAUUGGAGAAUUAAUGACAUGUUUCAUUGUUGGCCGUAAAUUUGGAUCAGCUUGUAGACAUGCAAAUGCUAUUGUAGCUACAUGAACAAUAUUCUGUGCAACCAGCUGGCUUGUUGGAGGUGAGAGGCGUGGAUCUAAUACAUCAGUUAACAUUAUAUUUUGCAAAGAAGAUGGUGCUGACAACAAAGACAAAAUUUCUACAAGAUGCUUUCCCACC
rnacentral:lncRNA from 1 species